GACGAACGCUGGCGGCGUGCUUAACACAUGCAAGUCGAACGGAAAGGCCUUUUCGGAGGUACUCGAGUGGCGAACGGGUGCGUAACACGUGGGUGAUCUGCCCUGCACUCUGGGAUAAGCCUGGGAAACUGGGUCUAAUACCGGAUAGGACCGCACUUUAGUGCGUGUGGUGGAAAGUUUUUUCGGUGUAGGAUGAGCCCGCGGCCUAUCAGCUUGUUGGUGGGGUAAUGGCCUACCAAGGCGGCGACGGGUAGCCGGACUGAGAGGUUGGUCGGCGACAUUGGGACUGAGAGACGGCCCAGACUCCUACGGGAGGCAGAAGUGGGGAAUAUUGCACGAGGGGCGCAAGCCUGAUGCAGCGACGCCGCGUGGGGGAUGACGGCCUUCGGGUUGUAAACUCCUUUCGCCAGGGACGAAGCGUUUUGUGACGGUACCUGGAGAAGAAGCACCGGCUAACUACGUG
rnacentral:rRNA from 1 species